GAUACCCUGCUGUAAGCGUGAUGAAGCUGAAGUUAUGAACCAACACCAUUACCUAGGGAGUAUGACUCUGAUUGCGGCUUGUAGGCCUUCGCGGAAAGGACACAUAAAGCAAUCGGGCAUACACCCACCUGCGAGAGCGGGUUCAGGUAACAUUCAGCUAUAGCGGUACGGCGGGGUUCCU
rnacentral:other from 1 species